rnacentral:rRNA from 1 species
AACGAACGCUGGCGGCAUGCCUAACACAUGCAAGUCGAACGAGACCUUCGGGUCUAGUGGCGCACGGGUGCGUAACGCGUGGGAACCUGCCCUUAGGUUCGGAAUAACUCCCCGAAAGGGGUGCUAAUACCGGAUAAUGUCUUCGGACCAAAGAUUUAUCGCCUUUGGAUGGGCCCGCGUUGGAUUAGCUAGUUGGUAGGGUAAAAGCCUACCAAGGCGACGAUCCAUAGCUGGUCUGAGAGGAUGAUCAGCCACACUGGGCCUGAGACACGGCCCAGACUCCUACGGGAGGCAGCAGUGGGGAAUAUUGGACAGUGGGCGAAGGCCUGAUCCAGCAAUGCCGCGUGAGUGAUGAAGUCCUUAGGGUUGUAAAGCUCUUUUACCCGGGAUGAUAAUGACAGUACCGGGAGAAUAAGCUCCGGCUAACUCCGUG